ensembl:lncRNA
AGAGGUGGCAGGUAGCCUAGUGGUUAGAGUGUAGAAGAGGCAGGUAGCCUAGUGGUUAGAGUGUAGAGGUGGCAGGUAGCCUAGUGGUUAGAGUGUAGAGGUGGCAGGUAGCCUAGUGGUUAGAGUGUGGAGGCGGCAGGUAGCCUAGUGGUUAGAGUGUAGAGGUGGCAGGUAGCCUAGUGGUUAGAGUGUGGAGGGGUAAGGUAGCCUAGUGGUUAGAGUGUAGAGGCUGGUAGCCUAGUGGUUAGAGUGUAGAGGUGGCAGGUAGCCUAGUGGUUAGAGUGUAGAGGAGGCAGGUAGACUAGUGGUUAGAGUGUAGAGGAGGCAGGUAGUCUAGUGGUUAGAGUGUAGAGGAGGCAGGUAGCCUAGUGGUUAGAGUGUAGAGGAGGCAGGUAGCCUAGUGGUUAGAGUGUGGAGGCGGCAGGUAGCCUAGUGGUUAGAGUGUAGAGGAGGU